CCUACGGGUGGCAGCAGUGAGGAAUAUUGGUCAAUGGACGAGAGUCUGAACCAGCCAAGCAGCGUGAAGGAUGACGGCCCUAUGGGUUGUAAACUUCUUUUAUAUGGGAAUAAAAUGUUCCACGUGUGGGAUUUUGUAUGUACCAUAUGAAUAAGGAUCGGCUAACUCCGUGCCAGCAGCCGCGGUAAUACGGAGGAUCCGAGCGUUAUCCGGAUUUAUUGGGUUUAAAGGGAGCGUAGGUGGAUUGUUAAGUCAGUUGUGAAAGUUUGCGGCUCAACCGUAAAAUUGCAGUUGAUACUGGCAGUCUUGAGUACAGUAGAGGUAGGCGGAAUUCGUGGUGUAGCGGUGAAAUGCUUAGAUAUCACGAAGAACUCCGAUUGCGAAGGCAGUUCACUGGACUACAACUGACACUGAGGCACGAAAGUGUGGGUAUCAAACAGGAUUAGAUACCCGAGUAGUC
rnacentral:rRNA from 1 species